AGAAUCAACGCUGGCGGCGUGCCUAACACAUGCAAGUCGCACGAGAAAGGGUAGCAAUACCUGAGUAAAGUGGCGCACGGGUGAGUAACACGUGAAUUAUCUACCUCCGAGUGGGGAAUAACUGAGAGAAAUCUUAGCUAAUACCGCAUAACACUUACGAGUCAAAGCAGCAAUGCGCUUGGAGAGGAGUUCGCGGCAGAUUAGUUAGUUGGCGGGGUAAUGGCCCACCAAGACGAUGAUCUGUAUCCGGCCUGAGAGGGCGCACGGACACACUGGAACUGAAACACGGUCCAGACUCCUACGGGAGGCAGCAGUGGGGAAUUUUGCGCAAUGGGGGAAACCCUGACGCAGCAACGCCGCGUGGAGGAUGAAAUAUCUUGGUAUGUAAACUCCUUUCGAUGGGGAAGAUUAUGACGGUACCCAUAGAAGAAGCCCGGCUAACUUCGCGCCAGCAGCCGC
rnacentral:rRNA from 1 species